rnacentral:rRNA from 1 species
UACGUAGGGGGCAAGCGUUGUCCGGAAUUAUUGGGCGUAAAGCGCGCGCAGGCGGUUCUUUAAGUCUGGUGUUUAAACCCGAGGCUCAACUUCGGGUCGCACUGGAAACUGGGGGACUUGAGUGCAGAAGAGGAGAGUGGAAUUCCACGUGUAGCGGUGAAAUGCGUAGAUAUGUGGAGGACACCAGUGGCGAAGGCGACUCUCUGGGCUGUAACUGACGCUGAGGCCGCGAAAGCGUGGGGAGCAAACAGG